GUUUUAACCCGCUAGAGUCGCACACUAAAAGCAAAUGUUUGUCUAUCAGGAGGCAUUUUAAACCAAAGUUUAGUCCCGACUAAAUAACAGACGUGCUGGAGAACACGUCCCAGCGGUUUAAACGCUAGCUGACGCUGUCGUCCUGGUAAAUUUAACGUGACGACGCAGUUGAUUACAAAUAUAUGCAGAUGCAUUUAUUUUAAUGAUGUAUAAAUCAUUCAUUCGUUAAUGCGAAAUUGGUCGAUCACAUUUUACACGUCUAACGUUAAAUCAAAUUACUUUGAUAAAUUUGACUGUGAUCGAGGAAUAUAUCACAGUUAGUAAGUAAUUGCAUCUUAUUUUGCAAUAUCCAACAAAAUUGACCCAAAUUAGCCAAAUCAAAUUUUAAUAGGCUCUACUUACAUUAUUGACACGCGGUCAUAGUUGAGCUAAGUACCGACUUUCACUAGCCAAACGUUAACCAAAGUCUUUGUGAUAUUUGUAUUCAAUAUUAUAUGUUGAUGAACAGUGAACUAUGAUUAUGAACUAUCAUGGAGAUGACGUUUUCAAGAUACUAGUUGCAAAUAGUUGAAACCUGUUGAUAUCUGCCUUAUUAUUGCCUCUUUCCUCAGCCUGUCUGCUCUAAUAAAUAAGUCAAAUAGUUGUACAUUUAGCUUUGACUCCUAUAGGGUAGGCCUACUAGUGAUGCCGCGACUAUGAAAAUAUUCACCCACAUCCCAGCCAGAUCUGAACUUGAAACCUGUCAACAGGAUAAUCAACUGAUAAACUAAACAACGUUUUUGGGGGGAGAUUAACUGAUGUUUAUGAAUGUGCCAAGGCUCUAUGGUGAAACAGGUCUGUGCUCCUUUGGGGCAAGCGUCGAGGGCCACUGGGUCAUGUCCUCCAGGGUGUCGGUUAGGAGGAUCACGGUCAGGCUCAUGGCUCUGAAUCCAGGACCACUCAGUGUCACCUUCUCUACCCAGAACCGUUCCUACAUCCAGGCAUCGACCCACCCACCACAACCCUAGCCUGCCUUCAGAGACCCUGGAUGGCCCCACAGCAAAGCCUUUUGGCAGCAGGGACGACAGCAAGGCCAUGAGAGGUGACGAUCCGAGGGGUGUGUCAUGGCUGGCCAUUAAAUCUUGUUGAGAAGAAAAUAAAAAGUUAACACUACAUAAUAGUCCUAUUCUCCAGUUCCACAAUCUAUAUUAUCAUUGCCCACAUCAUUAUAUUGUGGAAAAUGAGAAUUGACAACGAAACUCGUUUAUACAAGAGUAACUAUAAGAUGUCAAAGCAAAGGAAACAUGCAAAGCUAUAAGAGCACAGUGUGUGUAACAAGUGGUAAUUUGGCAGUGCACAUUAUAUAUAUAGCGCCAUGGCUCUUUUGAAUUAAACAAUAGUAAAAUAAAUAGAUAAAUAGAAAAUAAGGUAAGUGGACAUAACUUCAUGAUAAAAAAACAACGAAUAAAUAGUAAAUAAACAGGCAACGCAAUCUCAGCACUAACUCAGGGAAAUGCAGUUAUGGCCAGCAAUCUCAGCCUGGCUGUCAGUGGGUUGGCUGUGCUAGUGAUUAACUGGUAGGUCAAUUAGGUCGAAUGGAGGUGAAGCUAUUUCACGUUCAAAUUAAUUAAUCUGUAUACAGGUAGGUGCAUCACAUUUGUUAAAUACAACGUUUUCAGCAAGCAAAGCUACCAGUAAUAACAGGCUGUAAUGUAACGUUAGUUGUUUUAGCGCUAUCAGCUAUUCGUCAACUACGGAGUGAUUAAGUAGAUGCUAAAUACCUGGGUUAAUAAAGGUAACUAACCAACUCCUUCGGAGUCAGUGCAGAUUUUUGUAUUAUUAAUUAACGACUUUUCUUCAAGAGAAACUCUGGGAAAGAUCACGUUUUACAGCAUAAUUGAACAAGCGGAAGUGCCCUUUGUUAUUUGUCCGAUGGGAAAACGAGUAGCGAUAUGUCGUUCCUAUUAAUGCAUCUGGGUGAAUACAUGGGUGAAAAGCAUUCAUAAAGUAAGAAGCACAAUUUUGGAAUGUUGUUCAUGGUUUUCAUUGGUAGAAAUAAGCACCCUAGGAAACACGUUUUCAUUAUGAAUAUCUACUGAGAGUAAGGAUGUAUAAUGCCUUUAUUCUUUAUUUAUUUUUUGUGUGAAAACACACCAUUCUAUUUAGGCCUACGUACAAUACGAUUAUUGUACACAUAUUGGCCGGUAACGUAGGCUACUAUAACUCAUUAUAACUCACUAGAGGCCUAUGUUUAUCAUUGUUAUAUUUUGUGAGGAUACAAGUAAGGUUUACAUCUCAUGGAGAGGUAAAUAUCUAAAAAUAAUAACGCUUUAAAACAUCUAAUUUCAACCAAAUAUUUAAGUUAACCACAGAGCCAGUUCUCCCUUCAUAAUAAGGUUUAGCAUCAAUUCAAUGUUUACAUUAUAUUAUAUUUGAUAUUCCUUAAACUGUAGAUGGCAGCAAAGUAAUUUCAGUGAGGCAUUUUAGUAAAAGAAAAAAAAACGUAUGUGUUUGGGGAUUAGGGUAGGCCUUUAAAGGCAAAAAGAAUACCAUCUGCAGAAAAGCUACACAAGCCAUACAAUAGAUUCAAUCUACAAUGAGUACACACACACACACACACACACACACACACACACACACACACACACACACACACACACACACACACACACACACACACACACACACACAGACACACAGACAAACACACACACACACACACA